UUGUGAUUCAUGACUGGGGUGAAGUCGUAACAAGGUAACCGUAGGGGAACCUGCGGUUGGAUCACCUCCUUACCUGAAAGAAGC
rnacentral:rRNA from 1 species